AACGCACAUUGCGCCCUUUGGUAUUCCGAAGGGCAUGCCUGUUCGAGCGUCAUUGUAAAAUCUCAAGCCUAGCUUGGUAUUGGGCUAUUCGUCCCUAGGGACGGGCCUAAAAGUUAGUGGCGGUGCCAUCGAGCCUCAAGCGUAGCAGAAAUUCCUCGCUUUGGAGAAUCGGUUUUGGUCACCAGCCUUAAACCCCAACUUAAAAGAGUUUGACCUCGGAUCAGGUAGGGAUACCCGCUGAACUUAA
rnacentral:misc_RNA from 1 species